UAGGUGAUACAACUAAAUAAUAAUAAACGAUAAUUCUUAUCUGACGGCCGAUGACGGGAGAGAUGACGCUUGGCAGGCCAGUCUGGAACGACGUCGGCGAUGAUCUCUCGAAGGGUGGUACACCGGAAUCGUGCCUCGCAACCUGAUUGGCCUGGACAACAUGGCCACGAUAGGUGCCUCGGGAGAAAGACGUACAAUGACGAAAAAAAAAUACACUCUAUAUACGUCCGCUCGAACAACAUUGACAAUAUAAACAACUAGAUAACCGACUAUCCCGGCACGAUACAGAAUUUUAAAGUUUUCCCGCCAUUUGCCUAAACGGCAAUGUUUGCAUUGUUAUGUGAUAACACGAUAUAGAUAACUAACAAACAGUGGGGGGUUACGGUUUUUUUUUUGUUAUAAAAUACUGUUAUCACAUUGAAAUAUGAACAUUGCCGUUUAGGACAAAUGGAUCUUCGCAGGAAAAAACUCCGGAUCCAUGACGUCAUCAUUUUUAAUUUUCGUUAUCAAUAUUGUUCUUAUCAAAUGUUAUAAUGACAAAAUACUCCUCGAUUUAUUUUUAUUUAUAAGGAGCUUUGGUUAGGUUAGGUAUUUGGAUUGAAAGGACCAGAUAGGUUUGAGUAGUAGCUUGUAGAUGAAAAUAAUUUUGUUAUGUAGUGUGACAUGUUUGUACGAAAGGAAGCAAAGCUGUCUUUGACGAUUGUUUAGGACUAGUCACUUAUAACAGAAUUAUAACUUUAUUUGGUUCAAUUUUUAGGGGGGGGCUAUAAUAAUCCAAUGUAAAUUGAUCCACAGGGCAUCUUCUCCACACCCCCUUUGAUUUUUUUUUGGAAGGGGUCUAUUAAAAUCUUUGGAGGGCUAAGCCUCUUAAAUCUCCUCCUAUGUCCGCCUAUACUACUAUCAUUGUAUUGUACCCAAUUAUUUUGAUAUUUAACACAAUGCAAUGUAGGUGCUGUAACAUAUAAUGUGUACCAUCAACAAUAAACAAGAAUGUUCUUUUAAAAAAAUUGCAACAAAAUAUUUAAAACAUUUAAGAUGUAUAGUAAUCAUCUUGAAACUAUGCAUGAACUAUGAAGUAAAUUUAGUACACAAUAAAUUUAAUUUUAACAGAAUUCAAGGUACGUGUAUAUAAGGUGUAGUAUAACAUUAUUUUUAAGACUUUUAUAUAUAACUGAUAAUCAUUAAAAAUUGUAAUAUAAGUCAAGGAAAAGGAAGGGUGUCAGUAUGUAAAACAAACAUCUCAAAAACACAGUGAAGAUAAACAAUAUAUAUAUUUCUUAUGUCAUAAAUCUUUUGAUUCAAGGACUACUAAUAAUGGUAUAAAAACUUGGAAAAGUGGAGGGUCUGUAAAAACUUGCCAUGUAUGCCCAUCAAAUACAGUAGUCCAUAAAGAGAGUUCAAAAAUUAGUGCUGAUCUUCUAUUAUAGUACUCAUCUUUGGCAUACUAUUUAAAUUGCAAUGCAGCGAAUCCCUAUUGAAGAAAGGAAUACAAUUGCAGGAAAGUUGGCAAUUUAUUGGUGUACCAGUCAACCGAACAUUAUAUGACAUUCGAGGAUAAGAAGUUGGGACAGAAUUAAAAAGGAUUCAUUUGAUUUAAAAAAAGACUUACACAACAUUAAAAGAGAUUAUUAUAUUUCAUACAAUACUAAAUCACAUAAAAAUGAUGCUGUCAGUGUGAAGUUGUCAGUCUAAAGUGGAAAAGACUUACUCAUCAUGUAGUUUUGAAUAUUUUUUACGCUGUGAUAUGUGUCAUAUUUGUAUACAUUCUUACAAAUGCACUUGCUUGAAUAAUGUAAUAAUCUAAUAAAUGUAUAAUAAAACAUUUGUAAACACAUUCAUGCAU